AGCGGACACAUAAACAAUUCAAACAAAAGACAACGACAUAACCUGGUCCCCAGUCCGAGGUCGGCGGCGAGGGUCGCGGAGGCGGGCUAAGAGGCGGACAAGGACUAUGGUGGAGUGGGGUCCACGUCCCGCGCCAGAGCCGCCGCCGCGGACAGACACCCACCCAGACCCUCCCCUAUAGGGGGUACUGUUACGUUCUUACCUUAGUUCUUUUGUUAUGUCUUUGUUUUAGUAUGGUCAGGGCGUGAGUUGGGUGGGUUGUCUAUGUUAGUUUUUCUAUGAUUUGCUAUUUCUGUGUUUGGCCUGGUAUGGUUCUCAAUCAGAGGCAGCUGUCAAUCGUUGUCCUUGAUUGAGAACCAUAUUUAGGGAGCCUGUUUUCUAUUGUGUUUCGUGGGUGAUUAUUUUCUCGUGGGUGAUUAUUUUCUGUUGUGUGUCUGCACCAGCCUGAACUGUUUUCGGUCGGUUCUCUUUGUUAUUUCCGUGUUCAUUCUAAUAAAUAUGGACACAUACCACGCUG